rnacentral:rRNA from 1 species
GAUGAACGCUGGCGGCGUGCCUAACACAUGCAAGUCGAGCGAACGGACGAGAAGCUCGUUUUCCUAAUGUUAGCGGCGGACGGGCGAGUAAGACGUGCAUAACCUACCUCUAAGACUGGGAUAAUAUCGGGAAACAGCAGCUGCUAACGGCUGAUAUUACCUACCGCAUGGUUCAAAAGUGAUACACAGCUUUGGCGAUACUUAUAGAUGAAUUCGCGCUGCAUUAGCUAGUUGGUAAGGUAACGGCUUACCAAGGCGACGAUGCAUAGCCGAUCUGAGAGGGUGAUCAGCCACACUGGAACUGAGACACGGUCCAGACUCCUACGGGAGGCAGCAGUAGGGAAUCUUCCGCAAUGGGCGAAAGCCUGACGGAGCAACACCGCGUGAGUGAUGAAGGUCUUCGGAUCGUAAAGCUCUGUUGUUAGGGAAGAACAUAAGUGUAAGUAACUGUGCACAUCUUGACGGUACCUAAACAAAAAGCCACGGCUAACUACGUG